rnacentral:lncRNA from 1 species
UUUUUUUUUUUUUUUUUUUUUUUUUUUUUUGCUUUUUAGGGCCACACCUGCAACUUGCAGCAUAGAGAAAUUCCCAGCCUGGGAAUCUCCAUAUGCCGUAAGUGCCGCACUAAAAAGCCGGGGGGGAAAAAAAAGGAAAAACGACUCAGAUAUAUAUAGAUGUAUAUAUAUAUAUGUAAUAAUAAAAAAUGCGUGUGUAUAUGUGUCCAAGUGCUAGGUAGACAGUAGGACCUUCUUGUUUAUUUCUUCUGUAUAUAAUAGUUUGCACCUGCUCACCCCAGACUUCCCAUCCAUCCCUCCCUGACCCCCACUCAUUUUUAUUUUUGAGGAAACAAAAGAUAAGAUGGGAGUUCCCAUCGUGGCGCAGUGGUUAACGAAUCCGACUAGGAACCACGAGGUUGUGGGUUCGAUCCCUGGCCUUGCUCAGUGGGUUAAGGAUCCGACAUUGCUGUGAGCUGUGGUAUAGGUUGCAGACUCGGCUUGGAUUCUGCAUUGCUGUGGCUCUGGCAUAGACCUGUGGCUACAGCUCCAAUUAGACCCCUAGCCUGGGGACCUCCAUAUGCUGCGAGAGCGGCCCAAGAAAUGGCAAAAAGAUGCAUGCUUUUUCUUUUUGAGUGCUACUUAAUUCCUCACUCAAUGGGGUAACUGUGGGAAUCUUACUUAGUGUGUUUUGUGUUGGUUCAUCAGCUUCUGUGCUUUUAUUUGCUGUUGAAUAUCUUCUUAAGCUGAUACUGUGUGGAAACCUGGCGGGGACCUCAGGCUCCCAGUCUGCGACGAGGCAGGGCAGGUCACACAGGCAGCCUGUGGGAUCAGGUUGGGCAUGGGGCCAGGCAGGUAAUAGGAAGGGAUGUUGCUCAAGGCUGGUACUAAGAAAUAGGUUGGAGUCAUGGGGUUAGGUCAGGGUCAAGGCAGACAGAGCCAAGAAGAGACACCGAGUGUUCUCAUGCCCUGACUAAAGGCAUUCCAGAUAGCCCUAUGGGAAGCUGUGUAGACAAGUCUAAAGCUCCCUGGAGGAAUUUUAUUUUCAGAGUUGGGAGUAUGAUUGAACAGCUCUGCUUGUUCAAGGGAACCUGGAUCCUCUAACAGGAUUUUGUCAUCCUGACUUGGGGAAGUGCAGUCCCACAAAUCUCCAAGUGUUUAGCCAUCUUGAAGUAGAGGGACACAAGUCAUAAGUUCUUCCUUGAUUUAAGGAUUAGGGACCUUGAGUUCCUUCUCCAGGAGCAGGAAUCUGCUCAGGGUUCCUGUCUAUUCCUGCAAGAGAUUUCCUCUAAAGCAGAUUGAACGUUCUAUUAAUUUGGGGGAAAAUAAGUGUUAAUCCUGGCCAGUAGCUGUUAUGACAGAGGUUAGUGGGCAGUUUUGGGCUUAUUUUGUACAGGGAGAAUGCCUAGAAUUGUUACUAUUAUUUUCUUGGCUCCCCCGUGGUGUGUGGCGUUCCCAGGUCAAGGAUCGGAUCCAUGCCACAGCUGCAACCUAAGCUGCAGCAAUCCUGGAUCCUUAACCCACUGUGCUGAGGAUUGAACCUGAGUCCCAGUGCUCCCAAGAUGCCGCCAAUCCUGUUGUGCCGCAGAGGGAAUUCCAAACCCCUUCCUUUUUCAUCCCACUUUGAUGGUGCAAUAAUUCAGCUAUUAAAAAAAAUUUUCAGUCAGCACAUCCUAAAGUGUUCAAAACUGUCCCGCUCAUUUAAAAAUAAGUUUUUAUGUAAGACACUGACAUUCUUUAAAAUGUUUUAAAAUUAUUUUCAAGACUACAUUAUGGCAAUAUUUAAAUAAACAAACCCUUCAUACUUGCAGUUCUCUAAUGUAAUAUAUAUUUUUAAUCAUGUUAGUUUUAUGGUCUCUUCCCAUUAUGGUCUGUUUUAUGAUCUAAUUCUACUUAGAGGUAACAAAUAUGUUUUUGUUUCUACUCACCGUUUUCUAUCUAUUGUUAUAUGAGGCAAUAUAGUCUGAAUCAUUGUAUUUUUAAUAGCUUAAUAGUAAUCCAUUAAGUUGUUAAACUGUUGCUUAUUCAACCAUUGUCCUAUUUUUUGGACAUUUAGUUUUAUUUCUCAUUUCUUUGCUAUUUUGGAAAAUACUGCACCCGGCAGCUUUCUACUUAAUUUUCUGAACCUAAGAGUGGGAUCACUAACUUAAGAGUAAUAUUAUUUUGUUUCCCAGUAGAUUAAAAAAGGUAUUAAGAGGAGUUCCCACUGUGGCGCAGUAGGAUUGGCAGUAUCUCUGCAGUGCCAAGGUCACAGAUUCAAUCCCUGGCUAGGCAUGGUGGGUUAAAGGAUCUGGUGUUGCCACAGCUGUAGCGUAGGUUGCUGCUGUGGCUUGGCUCUGAUCCCUGUCCUGGGAACGCCAUAUGCCGCAGGGUGGACAAAAAGGGAAAAAAAAAAAGGUUAUUAAGAGGGAGUUCCCUGGUGGCCUAGUGGUUAAGGACUCAGUGUUGUCGCUGCUGUGAUUUGGGUUCAAUUCCUGGUCUGGGAAUUUCUGUAUCGUGUGGGUGCAGCCAAAAAAAAAAAAAAAAAA